rnacentral:rRNA from 1 species
AGCUUCUCGGGCUUGGUUAGUACUUGGAUGGGUGACCGCUUGGGAAUACCAAGUGUGAUAAGCA